rnacentral:rRNA from 1 species
GACGAACGCUGGCGGCGUGCUUAACACAUGCAAGUCGAACGGAAAGGCCCUGCUUUUGUGGGGUGCUCGAGUGGCGAACGGGUGAGUAACACGUGAGUAACCUGCCCUUGACUUUGGGAUAACUUCAGGAAACUGGGGCUAAUACCGGAUAGGAGCUCCUGCUGCAUGGUGGGGGUUGGAAAGUUUCGGCUGUUGGGGAUGGACUCGCGGCUUAUCAGCUUGUUGGUGGGGUAGUGGCUUACCAAGGCUUUGACGGGUAGCCGGCCUGAGAGGGUGACCGGCAACAUUGGGACUGAGAUACGGACCAGACUCCUACGGGAGGCAGUAGUGGGGAAUAUUGCACAAUGGGCGGAAGCCUGAUGCAGCAACGCCGCGUGCGGGAUGACGGCCUUCGGGUUGUAAACCGCUUUCGCCUGUGACGAAGCGUGAGUGACGGUAAUGGGUAAAGAAGCACCGGCUAACUACGUG